rnacentral:rRNA from 1 species
CCUACGGGAGGCAGCAGUGGGGAAUUUUGGACAAUGGGCGAAAGCCUGAUCCAGCCAUUCCGCGUGAGUGAAGAAGGCCUUCGGGUUGUAAAGCUCUUUCGCAAGGGAAGAAAACUUAGUCUCUAACAUAGACUGAGGUUGACGGUACCUUGAUAAGAAGCACCGGCUAACUACGUGCCAGCAGCCGCGGUAAUACGUAGGGUGCGAGCGUUAAUCGGAAUUACUGGGCGUAAAGCGUGCGCAGGCGGUUUUGUAAGUCAGAUGUGAAAUCCCCGAGCUCAACUUGGGAACUGCGUUUGAAACUACAAGACUAGAAUAUGUCAGAGGGGGGUAGAAUUCCACGUGUAGCAGUGAAAUGCGUAGAGAUGUGGAGGAAUACCAAUGGCGAAGGCAGCCCCCUGGGAUAAUAUUGACGCUCAUGCACGAAAGCGUGGGGAGCAAACAGGAUUAGAUACCCUGGUAGUCCACGCCCUAAACGAUGUCUACUAGUUGUUGGUGGAGUAAAAUCCAUGAGUAACGCAGCUAACGCGUGAAGUAGACCGCCUGGGGGAGGACGGUCGCGAGAGUAAACUACGAAGAAGUUAGAGGCGUGAGAGUAGACGACGGACGACGACGAGGGAGGAGG